rnacentral:rRNA from 1 species
UACGGGGGGGGUAAGCGUUGUUCGGAAUUAUCUGGGCGUAAAGGGCUCGUAGGCGGCCAACUAAGUCGGACGUGAAAUCCCUCACGCUUAACUGGGGAACUGCGUCCGAUACUGGAUGGCUUGGAUUUGGGAGAGGGAUGCGGAAGUUCCAGGUGUAGCGGUGGAAAUGCGUAGAUAUCUGGAGGAACACCGGUGGCGAAGGCGGCAAUCCUGGACCAAUAGUUGACGCUGAGGAGCGAAAGCCAGGGGAAGCAAAGCGGGGAUUAAGAUGACCCUA